GACGAACGCUGGCGGCGCGCUUAACACAUGCAAGUCGAGCGGUAAGGCCCUUUCGGGGGUACACGAGCGGCGAACGGGUGAGUAACACGUGGGCGACCUGCCCUCAGCUCUGGGAUAAGCCUGGGAAACUGGGUCUAAUACCGGAUAUGACUCCAUGACGCAUGUUGUGGGGUGGAAAGCCUUGUGCGGCUGAGGAUGGGCCCGCGGCCUAUCAGCUUGUUGGUGGGGUGANGGCCUACCAAGGCGACGACGGGUAGCCGGCCUGAGAGGGCGACCGGCCACACUGGGACUGAGACACGGCCCAGACUCCUACGGGAGGCAGCAGUGGGGAAUCUUGCGCAAUGGGCGAAAGCCUGACGCAGCGACGCCGCGUGAGGGAUGACGG
rnacentral:rRNA from 1 species